CUGCCGCUCUUCCUUUGUCUGAUCUUAAUCGACAUCCCUUCCUUGUGACAACCUCAACCAUGACUACAGCAGCUUUCCGUGAGCUGUUGUCAGGUACCCCGAUCCUCUCAGAAUCAAGGUAAGCUUUCCUUCAGUCCUGAGCAGGGAGGAGGAAGUGGCACCAGAAUUUAUAGGUUCUGGGACCCGAAGGGCCAAGCCCCUUGUUUGGUGACAAAGCAUCCACGGUCAAGCCCAGAGUCUGCAGUCCCCACCUGGACCGUUCAGCGGCCAGCUCUCCUCAGCGCCUGUUCAGAGCUACCAUUUCCCGAGCACCUGUGAUGCGCCAGAGACUGUGGUCGAUCUUUGAUCAGCAACAUUAAGGACCAGCCAGGAAGUAAGAGUAGCACCUGCGUGGUUUGCAGAUGACGACCCAAGGUCCAGAAAGCAGGGCUGAUCUUUAUCAGGAUGCUGGAGUUAUUUCGAGCUGUUGACGGCAAACAUCUGGAGGAGGGGCAGGCAGUGGGGAGCCUUGGAAGAAAGCAUUUGCAAUUGGAGGACCAAGGCCUCUGUGAGUCUGGGCCUGAGAACUCCUGAGCUUCUGGAGGAAGAAGAGGGAUUUGGAUUCGGUUAUCAGCAGAGGGAGACACAGAAGGACACUCCAGGGACUGUCAAGAUGAGACUCAGAAAAGAAGCGAUGUGUUCCAUGUCAUUGAACCAGGAGAUGUAUGACGGUCCUGCCAUCUUUUCUCUGUUACCCUGUGGACGGCGGAAGUGACAGGGACCCUCAGCCAAAUUCCCUUCACGUGACAAUACCCACCGUGGCCAUGUGGCCAC